GACGAACGCUGGCGGCGUGCUUAACACAUGCAAGUCGAACGGAAAGGCCCUGCUCUUGUGGGGUGCUCGAGUGGCGAACGGGUGAGUAACACGUGAGUAACCUGCCCUUGACUUUGGGAUAACUUCAGGAAACUGGGGCUAAUACCGGAUAGGAGCUCCUGCUGCAUGGUGGUGGUUGGAAAGUUUCGGCGGUUGGGGAUGGACUCGCGGCUUAUCAGCUUGUUGGUGUGGUAGUGGCUUACCAAGGCUUUGACGGGUAGCCGGCCUGAGAGGGGGACCGGCCACAAUGGUACUGCGAGACGGACCAGACGCCUACGGGAGGCAGCAGUGGGGAGUAUUGCGCAAUGGGCGGAAGCCAGAGGCAGCAACGCCGCGUGCGGGAUGACGUCCUUCGGGUUGUAAACCGCUUUCGCCUGUGACGAAGCGUGAGUGACGGUAAUGGGUAAAGAAGCACCGGCUAACUACGUG
rnacentral:rRNA from 1 species